UGGGGAAUUUUGGACAAUGGGCGAAAGCCUGAUCCAGCAAUGCCGCGUGUGUGAAGAAGGCCUUCGGGUUGUAAAGCACUUUUGUCCGGAAAGAAAUCCUUGGCUCUAAUACAGUCGGGGGAUGACGGUACCGGAAGAAUAAGCACCGGCUAACUACGUGCCAGCAGCCGCGGUAAUACGUAGGGUGCAAGCGUUAAUCGGAAUUACUGGGCGUAAAGCGUGCGCAGGCGGUUUGCUAAGACCGAUGUGAAAUCCCCGGGCUCAACCUGGGAACUGCAUUGGUGACUGGCAGGCUAGAGUAUGGCAGAGGGGGGUAGAAUUCCACGUGUAGCAGUGAAAUGCGUAGAGAUGUGGAGGAAUACCGAUGGCGAAGGCAGCCCCCUGGGCCAAUACUGACGCUCAUGCACGAAAGCGUGGGGAGCAAAACAGGAUUAGAUACCCCUGGUAGUCCACGCCCUAAACGAUGUCAACUAGUUGUUGGGGAUUCAUUUCCUUAGUAACGUAGCUAACGCGUGAAGUUGACCGCCUGGGGAGUACGGUCGCAAGAUUAAAACUCAAAGGAAUUGAC
rnacentral:rRNA from 1 species